GACGAACGCUGGCGGCGUGCUUAACACAUGCAAGUCGAACGGAAAGGCCCUUCGGGGUACUCGAGUGGCGAACGGGUGAGUAACACGUGGGUGAUCUGCCCUGCACUUUGGGAUAAGCCUGGGAAACUGGGUCUAAUACCGAAUAGGACCGCGCGCUUCAUGGUGUGUGGUGGAAAGCUUUUGCGGUGUGGGAUGGGCCCGCGGCCUAUCAGCUUGUUGGUGGGGUAAUGGCCUACCAAGGCGACGACGGGUAGCCGGCCUGAGAGGGUGACCGGCCACACUGGGCCUGGGAUACGGCCCAGACUCCUACGGGAGGCAGCAGUGGGGAAUAUUGCACAAUGGGCGCAAGCCUGAUGCAGCGACGCCGCGUGAGGGAUGACGGCCUUCGGGUUGUAAACCUCUUUCACCAGGGACGAAGCGCAAGUGACGGUACCUGGAGAAGAAGCACCGGCCAACUACGUG
rnacentral:rRNA from 1 species